rnacentral:tRNA from 1 species
UGGGGUGUAGCUCAGUGGUAGAGCUCUUGUCUAGCAUGUAUGAGGUCCUGGGUUCCAACCCCAGCACCAUAC